UGGGGAAUAUUGGACAAUGGGCGAAAGCCUGAUCCAGCAAUGCCGCGUGGGUGAAGACGGCCUGCGGGUUGUAAAGCCCUUUAGGUGGGGAGGAAAGGCGGGACGUGAACAGCGUUUCGCACUGACGUUACCCACGGAAUAAGCACCGGCUAACUCCGUGCCAGCAGCCGCGGUAAUACGGAGGGUGCGAGCGUUAAUCGGAAUUACUGGGCGUAAAGCGUGCGUAGGCGGUUUGGUCAGUCAGCCGUGAAAGCCCCGGGCUUAACCUGGGAACGGCGGUUGAGACGGCCAGACUCGAGUGGGCUAGAGGAUCGUGGAAUUCCCGGUGUAGCAGUGAAAUGCGUAGAGAUCGGGAGGAACACCGAUGGCGAAGGCAGCGAUCUGGGGCCACACUGACGCUGAGGCACGAAGGCGUGGGGAGCAAACAGG
rnacentral:rRNA from 1 species